rnacentral:rRNA from 2 species
GGUUGACCUCGGAUCAGGUAGGAAGACCCGCUGAACUUAAGCAUAUCAAUAAGCGGAGGAAAAGAAACCAACAGGGAUUGCCCUAGUAACGGCGAGUGAAGCGGCAACAGCUCAAAUUUGAAAUCUGGCUUCGGCCCGAGUUGUAAUUUGUAGAGGAUGCUUUGGGCGCGGCUCUAACUGAGUUCCCUGGAACGGGACGCCACAGAGGGUGAGAGCCCCGUAUAGUUAGAUGCCUAGCCUAUGUAAAGCUCCUUCGACGAGUCGAGUAGUUUGGGAAUGCUGCUCAAAAUGGGAGGUAAAUUUCUUCUAAAGCUAAAUAUUGGCCAGAGACCGAUAGCGCACAAGUAGAGUGAUCGAAAGAUGAAAAGCACUUUGAAAAGAGGGUUAAAUAGCACGUGAAAUUGUUGAAAGGGAAGCGCUUGUGACCAGACUUGCGCCGGGCAGAUCAUCCGGUGUUCUCACCGGUGCACUCUGCCCGGCUCAGGCCAGCAUCGGUUCUCGUGGGGGGAUAAAGGUCCCGGGAACGUAGCUCCUCCGGGAGUGUUAUAGCCCGGGGCGUAAUGCCCUCGUGGGGACCGAGGUUCGCGCAUCUGCAAGGAUGCUGGCGUAAUGGUCAUCAGCGACCCGUCUUGAAACACGGACCAAGGAGUCAAGGUUUUGCGCGAGUGUUUGGGUGUAAAACCCGCACGCGUAAUGAAAGUGAACGUAGGUGAGAGCUUCGGCGCAUCAUCGACCGAUCCUGAUGUAUUCGGAUGGAUUUGAGUAAGAGCGUUAAGCCUUGGACCCGAAAGAUGGUGAACUAUGCUUGGAUAGGGUGAAGCCAGAGGAAACUCUGGUGGAGGCUCGCAGCGGUUCUGACGUGCAAAUCGAUCGUCAAAUCUGAGCAUGGGGGCGAAAGACUAAUCGAAC